CAGCUGUGCCGGUCCCUGAGUCUUGCGUGCGCAUGUGCGUGUGUGAACCUUUUCUUUCUUGAUUCAUGGGCGCACGUGCACACCGUGAUGCAUCUCGUGUCCUCUCUUGUCAUUUCUCUUGUUCGUGUUUUGCGAUUACGGUCGUUCGAUAUCUGCACCACCGCCAAACCAAAAGGGUGCCGACCAACGCGCCCCCGUGGCCCCUCCAUGUCUUUCCAUAUCGGCUUGGGGCACGCUCUCUCGUUUGUCCGCCCUCUUGUUUGCUGCAGCACUCUGUCUCUUUUUCUCCCUCCCCACAAUCUCUGUUACCGUGGGCAUGAGAGGACCGGCGCGAUACGGGUUGUAAGCGAAGCGGCACACGUGUGCCAAGAGUGACCCCUAGCGGAGAUCGGCACUGCAGACGGCGAGGGUGCACAGAUGUCAUGUGUCGUUGCACGAGAGCGAAGAAGUGUCACAAAGGGUGGGUGAGGCUAGCGAUGGGCACGGGUGCCCGAAAAAGCUUAAGACAAGAUCAAUGCACAUGUUUUCGGAGAAAGAAACAGCUAGGGUAGGUUGAGCAAGUGCGUCGCUUCUCUUUAAACGGUGAGGUAGUGGUGUCAACACUGAGGGCGUGCUCCUGGGGUGAGCGACAUGUGUCCCUUCGAGCACCGCAGGCAGCGUGAAGGCUGCAAUGCGUUCGCGCGAUGGUGCCUUUUUUGGCCGCCGCUUUCGCUUUCGCCAGCCCCUCUCUCCCUCACUUCCUCUCUGACAGCACCCGAGCACCAAUCGCGCGACCGUCAGCGUUACUUUAGCAGUCUUUUCGGUGCACGGCAUCGCGCUCCCCCCUUCUGCCCUUCCUUUUCGUCUUUUGUUUUGCCGCAG
rnacentral:misc_RNA from 1 species